AGCCAAGCAGAUCUCUGUGAGUUCGAGGCCAGCCUGGUCAACAGAAUGAGUUCCAGGGCUGCCAGUGCUACACAGACAAACCCUGUCUCCAAAA
ensembl:miRNA predicted gene, 25591